rnacentral:misc_RNA from 1 species
GAAAUGCGAUAAGUAGUGUGAAUUGCAGAAUUCAGUGAAUCAUCGAAUCUUUGAACGCACAUUGCGCCCCUUGGUAUUCCAUGGGGCAUGCCUGUUCGAGCGUCAUUUGUACCUUCAAGCUUUGCUUGGUGUUGGGUGUUUGUCUCGCCUUUGCGUGUAGACUCGCCUUAAAACAACCCCAUUUCUAAGGUUGACCUCGGAUCAGGUAGGGAUACCCACUGAACUUAA